UCCGGAGUAGCUCAACGGUAGAGCAGGCGGCUGUUAACCGCAAGGUUCAGGGUUCGAAUCCCUGCUCCGGAGCCA
rnacentral:tRNA from 3 species